rnacentral:rRNA from 1 species
AUUGAACGCUGGCGGCAUGCCUUACACAUGCAAGUCGAACGGUAACAGGUCUUCGGAUGCUGACGAGUGGCGAACGGGUGAGUAAUACAUCGGAACGUGCCUAGUAGUGGGGGAUAACUACUCGAAAGAGUGGCUAGUACCGCAUGAGAUCUACGGAUGAAAGCAGGGGAUCGCAAGACCUUGUGCUACUAGAGCGGCCGAUGGCAGAUUAGGUAGUUGGUGGGAUAAAAGCUUACCAAGCCGACGAUCUGUAGCUGGUCUGAGAGGACGAUCAGCCACACUGGGACUAAGACACGGACCAGACUCCUACGGGAGGCAGCGGUGGGGAAUUUUGGACAAUGGGCGAAAGCCUGAUCCAGCAAUGCCGCGUGCAGGAUGAAGGCCUUCGGGUUGUAAACUGCUUUUGUACGGAACGAAAAGCCCCGGGUUAAUACCCUGGGGUCAUGACGGUACCGUAAGAAUAAGCACCGGCUAACUACGUGCCAGCCGCCGCAGUAA